UACAGAGGUGGCAAGCGUUGUUCGGAAUUACUGGGCGUAAAGGGCGCGUAGGUGGCCUUCUUAGUCAGACGUGAAAUCCCCGGGCUUAACCCGGGAACUGCGUCCGAUACUGGUUGGCUUGAAUUCGGGAGAGGGAUGCGGAAUUCCAGGUGUAGCGGUGAAAUGCGUAGAUAUCUGGAGGAACACCGGUGGCGAAGGCGGCAUCCUGGACCGGCAUUGACGCUGAGGCGCGAAAGCCAGGGGAGCAAACGGG
rnacentral:rRNA from 1 species